ACUCAAAGGAAUUGACGGGGGCCCGCACAAGCGGAGGAACAUGUGGUUUAAUUCGAUGAUACGCGAGGAACCUUACCCGGGCUCGAACGGCAGAUGAAUAAAUGUGAAAGCAUUUAGUCGCAAGACAUCUGUCGAGGUGCUGCAUGGUUGUCGUCAGCUCGUGCCGUGAGGUGUCGGCUUAAGUGCCAUAACGAGCGCAACCCUUAUUUUCAGUUACCAUCAGAUAAUGCUGGGGACUCUGGAAAGACUGCCACCGUAAGGUGUGAGGAAGGUGGGGAUGACGUCAAAUCAGCACGGCCCUUACGUCCGGGGCGACACACGUGUUACAAUGGGGGGGACAAAAGGUUGCUACCCGGCGACGGGAUGCCAAUCCAAAAACCCUCUCCCAGUUCGGAUCGAAGUCUGCAACCCGACUUCGUGAAGCCGGAUUCGCUAGUAAUCGCGCAUCAGCCAUGGCGCGGUGAAUACGUUCCCGGGCCUUGUACACACCGCCCGU
rnacentral:rRNA from 1 species